GAAACUAAAAAGGUGCAAAAACUCCACAGAUGCUAGUGCCUUGCCCCGCUGAUGUGGCAUGGACAGCACCAACCUGACCAGACCAUCAUGGGAGUGAGAAGCUGUUGUUCAGAAGGUCUCCGAGCUGACAAGUUCUCACUUCCCAGAGGGAUGAGCUUUGUGCCAAGCUGUGUUGUUUGGAAACAUGAUGGUGGUAUCAGCAACACUGAACCUGUCCUUUCUCCUGUUACCCCCCUGCCCUUGGUCUUGGUGCUAAGAUAUCUCUAGAACCAUUGCUGCUAGUUGAUAGCUUUUCAUUUAUAUAAAUAUAUAUAUAUAUAUAAUAUUAUUUUAUUUUUUAAACUUUUUCAUUUGUUUUCAAUGGAGAUGUAGCAUGUUUGGAACCGAUCUCUCUCGGAGUCACUUUCACUGCCAGGGUUCACACACUGUCUUCCCCAGGAAAACACGCACUUCUACCUAGAUCUCACCUCCCACUAACCCAUUUGCCCUCAGUAGACCUGCACAGUGGACACUGGUGUGCAGCAAAGCCACUGCCCACCAUAUCAGCUCUCAGACUCACGGACACGGCUCAGCUGACGUUUGUCAGAGCUUUGGAAAUGCUUCCCCUCUAUCCCUGUGGUGAGGAGGAGAGGUGGAGCCUGCUUAGAGCACUCACAGGGAAAACCCUUCCGUCCUCUGCCCUGUCUUGGCCUCAUUGCAGUUGAAGAGGGGCACAACAGCCCCUGCCAGGCCGGUGGGCUGCAAUCUGUAGCACUUACUCACUUUCCCCCAUGCCGUACCUCAGAUAACACGUGCUGCCCCUCUCUGGCUCGUUGGGACAGUGGGAGCAAAAGUGCCAGGGCCCCUGGUUUGCCUCCUGUAGCCUUCAGGCAUGUCGCAAGCUAGGCCAGGGCAUUAAGCCUAAGUAUCAGUAUGCAACGCCUACUGAGCAAAAAAUGGUUUCAUGUGCAUAAACUGUUUUAAUUACAUUUUUUCCUGCCUUUCCCAAUAAAUUAUGUUAUCAAAUUGACCCAUUUAUCCAAAGGAGCAAGAGUUAAGCUGGAAACCCUCUGGCACAGUAAGCAAGGCAGCUCUUUGUGUGGCCACAGCACAGGGAUCUCUGUGCACAAGAUGUCUGUGGCUCUGCUGAUGGUGCUGCCUAAUUGCUGCCAGAGCUGUUUCCUUCCAGGGAGCUGGCAGGUCCUCCCAUUAGUUACGAUUUGAGGCGAUGCAAAAAGCAAAAAGCAAGUCCCUGUAGAAUUGCUGCUCCAUGAGUCCCUGGCCCAGAGUGAGCGAGGUAAACUUAGAUGUUUAGAGACAGGCAGAUGGGGAAAAGUACUCCUGCUCAAGUGUGCACAGAUGCACGAGAAACUGGGGCAGCAGGAGUAAAAAUAACAAAAAGAGACCUUCUGUAAGCUGCACUGGGUGCUAGGGAGGCUGGCAAGGCAAUUUCCCUCCUCCCCUGUUUUUUUAAUUUACUUCUGUGCUCAAUUCUGUACCUCUUUGUGGGGGAGAAAAGGAAAUGAUCUGCCUUUCUGUUUGUGGCACUGAAAGCUCCUUGGCACAUGGCUUUUUUCAUGGAGGCCAUCAAAUGGCCUGGCCUAUGUGAGGGAAGGGACACUUAGCAACAGUGUCCAGGCACCUCAGUAAGCAGGGGCAGUAUCCCAGUGCUUGUGCUGAGCCGCCUGAACUGCCUGUGUGCAGCCUCCACUCUGAGCACCUCUGCUUUUUUGCCUCUGGGGAGAAAAUGGUGCCCUGCCUUGAUAGGCAAGGUAAAAGCCACCAGACGCUUGUUGAGAAAUGAUUCCUGUAUUUGUCACUCCUUCCUGUUGGUUGCUUUGCAAUUCCCAUUCUCAUCAGUGACAUCUUUCACCCAGGUACUUAUUCCCAGUAGCAGUGGGUGGCUUUUUCUCCAGGCAGACGGCUGAAAAAGGGAAAGCAUUUGUUUCUUUUGUAAUAACUCUGCAUGCAAUUGUGAGCAGCAGUGUCCAUGGGAAGAGCAUUUUCCCAUCACUGGACAUUGCAGAUAGCUGUGAAUAGGAAAGGUCAGAGAUCCCUUGCAUUGGUUAUGGGGGGAAAUGAGUGCUCAGUGCAGCAGCAAUAAUGCAAACAACUCCCCAUCAUCCCCCAUCAGAAAAUAGACGCAGCCUUUGUACUAGACAAGCACAGGUGCUUUGCAAGCUUUCCCUCCAGGUUUAUCCGCCUAUCUCAGAUCUGUAGCUAUUACUCACAUGGAUAGUCCUGUGGAUGGAAACGUGACUGCCAGCACGAGCAGUGCUGCGGGGAGGGGGAGAGGAAUAACAAUGCAAAGCGCCCUCGGCUUUUCGGUGCCCUGCCUGGCCAGCCUUGCCUGAGAGCAGGUGCCUUUUGGUGCUCUGUGUGCAGCCAGCUCCGGGCUGUGAGGCAGGGAGGGUACCCGGAGGGCAGAGAGAGGCCGACCCAAAUGGGAGGUCGUGGUACUUCAGCUUUAAUCAGUGCCUUCCUGCUGUUCUGAACAGAGGGGAAGCUGUUUUGUAUGUGUUGCUCACAGUUUCACGAGCAGUUGCAGCAGCAGAGAGAAGGUUUUGUUUUUCUCAGAUGAGCUCUUUAUCUUCCCCUCCCGCCCCCCCCCCCCCCCCCCCCCCCCCCCCCCCCCUUUCUAGCUAGGGCAUCUGACUGUGAAUAAUAAGCACUUCUCCAGACCCCAGAGCUUUUAUUUCUAGCCUGUGGGCUUUUGGGUUGCCCAUUUCCCCUACCCACUUCUUGCUCAGGCUCCUUGACUCUUACCGCCUGCUGCAAAGCAGAACCCAUGAAGCACAUGCAGACGUGUCCUUCUGCAGGGCUCGUCGAUGGCUGGAGCAGCCAGUGCCCUCCGGCCACAAGACCGAACUCAACAGGGAUAAUCCUUACGGAACAAGAGACCAAAGCUCUUCCCAUACCAGCAGCAGCACGCGGGAGCCGCAGGAUGAGCGGCAGAGGGCAGGGUGCCCACGUGUCUUCUGUGCUGGGGCUUGCACUGACCCUGGCUGUGUCCCCCGUGCUGGUUGAGCUUUUGCUGAUAGGAAUUCUCAGACAUGAUUCAGGCUCCAUCUAUGUCUUUCUCAUAGCACAAACUCAACCAGGUGGCCCGCAGGGUCUUCGGUGUCCCCUUUCCUUCUUAUCUUAUCCAUAUUGCUGUUUGUUUGACCAAUGGGUAAAACAACCGAAACAGGCUUGCAAAUAAGCAGCAACAUGCUCUGCUUUUGCAGAUUCCCCUCUCAGCCCUGUCAAAAGAGGUCUUAAAAGCAGAGAAAUGGUACGUUGCUCCCCCAGCCAUUGUAUUCAAUGCAGUAACGCCUAUGCAAUUCCUGUCUCCCUUGGAGACAUGUAUGAUGUGUGUGCAUGUAAGCUAGUGUAUGUAUACAGUACAUAUGCAUACCGUCUAUAUAUUGUAUAUACGCACAUCCCAGUACAUAUACACACCAUACAAAAGAUAAAAUCACAUGCUUAUAUAUCUAUAAAUAAAAUCCUAUAUAUUUAUAUAUUUCUAUGUUUUCAAUAGAUAUAAAGAUAUAAUAUAGAGAUGAUAGAAUCAACCACCCUUGUGUAAGGCUGGCCCUGUGUUCUGGCACAAGGCAUGUAACACUGAAGACGGACUUUGGGAUGGUUUUAGCCAUACACUGAGGCCUACAUUUACAGGUAUAGCACUCUGCAGAGAGAGGCUUUGCUGUGGUUAGGGCAGUGGGCUCCUUGUUGGCAUGUUAACCAAGUGCUUGAUAAGGUUUGUCUAAUGGGAGUGUCUCAGUGUGGGAAUACGCUCAAGUAUCCUUGUCUUCUCAGUAAGCCUUUGUAAGGUCCAGCGUGCUCACACCUGGACAGACACAUAUCCAACCCUCAUAUGCACUUUUCUGUCUCUGCACGGAUGUGGUUUGCAGCUGAGCAUACCCGUGUUGCAAAGAUGUGGCUCUGCUUUUCCCGUCUGCCAUUGCUAGCACAGCACGGAACGACCAUGUGUUUGUGCCACGUUUUGCAUGUGGCUAUCAGUCAAAAACGCAGCGAUGGAGCUGGACUAGGGCAAGGAAAGCCAAUGUGUUAUGCAAGAGGGACAGUCACAGGAUCAGAGCUGGCAGGGCACAGUGCUGAGCCCAAACAGCCAGUGCAAAGUGGCUGUGGCAAGUCAGCCAUGCUGCGUCCGUGCACCUCUCCUCAGAGGCCUGGCCACGUGGCAGACUGCUGCAGACAGGCCGCUGCUGGGCCUGCAGGCUCUGGCAGGGCCUGGCAGUCCCUCACUGCUCUCUCCGUUGUCAUUUUCACCUUCUGCUGGGAGGAGGGUGGGCGUUAUCCUGACCGUUGGUUACACUGGUAUCGCACUGUGCGAGCUCCCCCAAACUCCGCACCCCCAGGCUUCUCGCCACCACACAACUGGUAAUCCACCUCAGCCGUGUCCCGCCUCAGCCGUGGGCAGCUCCCAGCCCCGCUCCUCACCAACCUCAUGGAGGGUAUCCUCUCCCCAGCCCCCUCCUCCGGAUGCCACUGACACUCGUGCAGGCCUGGCAAGCGGGCACACUGCUGCCAGGCCAUGGACUCUGAUGCACUGCACCUCACGUCAAAUAUAAGCUCGCUGUGCCGGGUAGGGGAACGCAUCUCCUAUGCUGUAAUGUCCCAGAUGCUAUGGGAGGGCUGCAGAGCUUUCUGCCAGUGUGGGGUCCUCACCCGACUGUUGGCGAGAUGUGUUUCUCCUUCUCGCUUCCAGAAAGCAGAAAGUUUUGUCCCAGACCUCUCUGUACCCCCACCUAAGCACAGCCCUGCUGAACUGUUUCAAGCUGUCUCUCACUCACCCACCAUACACACACACACACACAAUGAGAGAAAAAUAUCUAGAAGUCUAUUACUACAUAUGUAUUAAUAUGUUAAUAUCACUCUUUUGGAGAAUAUUAAAAUGUUAUUACUUUACAGACUAUGCUUUAUAGUACCUGUGUGAAAGGACCUAGGACACUGGAUACGAAUAGAGCUAUGUUGAUAUAUCAUGGUAUGUACACGAGAAAUUUCCUUUUGUCAUAUUAUCCUUGUAAUGUAAAAUGAUUGUUAAUAAAAAAAAAAAAAAAAAAA
rnacentral:lncRNA from 1 species